CCUACGGGGGGCAGCAGUGGGGGAUAUUGCGCAAUGGGGGAAACCCUGACGCAGCAACGCCGCGUGAAGGAUGAAGGUUUUCGGAUUGUAAACUUCUUUUAUUAAGGACGAAAAAAUGACGGUACUUAAUGAAUAAGCUCCGGCUAACUACGUGCCAGCAGCCGCGGUAAUACGUAGGGAGCAAGCGUUGUCCGGAUUUACUGGGUGUAAAGGGUGCGUAGGCGGCUUUGCAAGUCAGAUGUGAAAUCUAUGGGCUCAACCCAUAAACUGCAUUUGAAACUGUAGAGCUUGAGUGAAGUAGAGGC
rnacentral:rRNA from 1 species